GUCGAGCGGGGUUGUCGGAGUGGAGUCCUUCGGGAUGAAGCACUGCCAACCUAGCGGCGGACGGGUGAGUAACGCGUGGGUAACCUGCCCUAAAGCCCGGGAUAACACCGGGAAACUGGUGCUAAUACCGGAUACCUUCCAGAGGGGGCAUCCUUUUUGGAAGAAAGGUGAACGCUUUAGGAUGGGCCCGCGUCCCAUUAGCUAGUUGGUGAGGUAACGGCUCACCAAGGCAGUGAUGGGUAGCCGGCCUGAGAGGGUGACCGGCCACACUGGGACUGAGACACGGCCCAGACUCCUACGGGAGGCAGCAGUAGGGAAUAUUGCGCAAUGGGCGAAAGCCUGACGCAGCGACGCCGCGUGAGUGAUGAAGGCCUUCGGGUUGUAAAACUCUGUCCUUGGGGACGAAGGAAGUGACGGUACCCAAGGAGGAAGCCCCGGCUAACUACGUGCCAGCAGCCGCGGUAACACGUAGGGGGCGAGCGUUGUCCGGAAUUACUGGGCGUAAAGGGUGCGUAGGCGGCCUUUUAAGUCAGAUGUGAAAGACCACGGCUUAACCGUGGGGUUGCAUUUGAAACUGGGAGGCUUGAGUGUCGGAGAGGGCAGUGGAAUUCCCGGUGUAGCGGUGA
rnacentral:rRNA from 1 species